rnacentral:rRNA from 1 species
AUUGAACGCUGGCGGCAGGCUUAACACAUGCAAGUCGAGCGGGGAUUGGGUGCUUGCACCUAAUCUUAGCGGCGGACGGGUGAGUAAUGCUUAGGAAUCUGCCAUUUAGUGGGGGACAACAUUCCGAAAGGGAUGCUAAUACCGCAUACGCCCUACGGGGGAAAGCAGGGGAUCUUCGGACCUUGCGCUAAAUGAUGAGCCUAAGUCGGAUUAGCUAGUUGGUGGGGUAAAGGCCUACCAAGGCGACGAUCUGUAGCGGGUCUGAGAGGGUGAUCCGCCACACUGGGACUGAGACACGGCCCAGACUCCUACGGGAGGCAGCAGUGGGGAAUAUUGGACAAUGGGGGGAACCCUGAUCCAGCCAUGCCGCGUGUGUGAAGAAGGCCUUUUGGUUGUAAAGCACUUUAAGCGGGGAGGAGGCUCUUCUAGUUAAUACCUAGGAUGAGUGGACGUUACCCGCAGAAUAAGCACCGGCUAACUCUGUGCCAGCAGCCGCCGUAAAAC